AUUGGCGUCCGAGCGACUUCUAGAGCCUGGGGUUCGGCGCUAUGGAGGAGCUCGAUGGCGAGCCAACAGUCACUGCGUGAAUUCCAAGAAGAACCAAAUGUGUUUUGACUGGGGUCCAGGGGAGAUGCUGGUAUGUGAAACCUCCUUCAACAAAAAAGAAAAAUCAGAGAUGGUGCCAAGUUGCCCCUUUAUCUAUAUCAUCCGUAAGGAUGUAGAUGUUUACUCUCAAAUCUUGAGAAAACUCUUCAAUGAAUCCCAUGGAAUCUUUCUGGGCCUCCAGAGAAUUGACGAAGAGUUGACUGGAAAAUCCAGAAAAUCUCAAUUGGUUCGAGUGAGUAAAAACUACCGAUCAGUCAUCAGAGCAUGUAUGGAGGAAAUGCACCAGGUUGCAAUUGCUGCUAAAGAUCCAGCCAAUGGCCGCCAGUUCAGCAGCCAGGUCUCCAUUUUGUCAGCAAUGGAGCUCAUCUGGAACCUGUGUGAGAUUCUUUUUAUUGAAGUGGCCCCAGGCUGGAGUGCAAUGGCGUGAUCUCAGCUCACCGCAACCUCCACCUCCUGGGUUCA
rnacentral:sRNA from 1 species